UACGUAGGGACCAAGCGUUGUUCGGAUUUACUGGGCGUAAAGAGCGCGUAGGCGGUGCGGUAAGUCACUUGUGAAAUCUCUGAGCUUAACUCAGAACGGCCAAGUGAUACUGCAGUACUAGAGUGCAGAAGGGGCAAUCAGAAUUCUUGGUGUAGCGGUGAAAUGCGUAGAUAUCAGGAGGAACACCGGAGGCGAAGACGGGUUGCUAGGCUGACACUGACGCUGAGGCGCGAAAGCCAGGGGAGCAAACGGG
rnacentral:rRNA from 1 species